AGAAAGGAAGGCCCUGUCCCAAAUGGCACUCUAAACCCUUACGGUCUUCCUCUGUGUCCACACUUUCGUGGUGUAAUGCCGCUUUGACUGCCGGGAAGAAGACCUUUUCCUAGUUCGCAGACUUGCAGGCUCAGCAGAAUUGCGCAUCGAGGGCUCAUAGCGGCCGCAAAGGGGGCGUUAGCGAGCACCCUUCUGAAGGCUAAAAUGAGGAAUGGGACACCCUACGGUCUUGUGGACUUAACAGACACGAGCACGCAGCAGCCAUUAAAAAUCGCUUUUUAAGGACUACAACAAACGGCUGGUAGGGACUACAAAGAGCUUCUUCCCGGGUUUUAGGGUCACUAAACCUAAAAUUUACAUAAGCCCUGCCCCCGGGAACACACAACAAACGAGGUGAGGCCAUGUUGGGCUGCUUUAGAGAAGAGGAAGAGUUGUUGUAGUAGAUUGUUGUUAUUAUGCCGUCAUUUUACGCCGGACUGCUUCACAAACGAGGGUCAAUUCAACACUGGAUUUGCACAAAAGAUUAACAUGACGGCACAUGCUAGUCGAUGAGUUGAAUCAACUCCACAGCAACUACAUAAAUUCAUCAACUAACCGUUCAGAAACGUCCAGAUUCAUUCUAAAAGUUGUAACUUCUUCCUGAGUCUCUCCAUCAGUGUCCGACUCUGGUUUGAACAAUGUAAGGCUGAACACCGUUACUGACAAUCCUCAUUUUGGCUGCGUGAGAUUCUCCGGCUUUGUUGUUGUUGAGCAACCGAAGCGCGAGCUGUUAAAGCGCCGCCCUCUUCUGGAAAGGGGGCCGGGAGCAGCAGCUCAUUUGGAUUUAAAGGGACACACAAAAACAGCGUGUUUUUGCUCACACCCAAAUAGGGGCAAGUUUGACAAGCUAUAAUAAAUGAUUUGUGGGGUAUUUUGAGCUGAAACUUCACAGACACAUUCUGGGGACACCAGUGACAUAUUACAUCUUGUAAAAGGGGCAUAAUAGGACCCCUUUAAUUUUUAGUGGAGGACCCUGAUGCAUAAGUAGCUUAAGUAGUAAUUCUCAUGAGAUUGGGAAAAAUCAUGAAUUUUAUGUGUAUUUUUUUGAGAUAUCAAAAGUGUUUUGGGGUCUUUCAGACUUCCAACAGAACAUGAAGUUUAUCACUGCUGUGUUUGCACGUCUAUAUUUUGUUUGGGAAAAUGGAGAUGCUGAACAAUUAUGGUUGAAUUUGAGUUAACAAACAGGGGUUUGAGACCGACCUCUGCGUUCUUCUUCCACAGACAUGGUGAAGUCGACGUAAGACUCAUCCCUUCAUAAUUUAUCCUUGAGACUGGAAGACAAACCGACAGUGACAGUGAGCAAUUGUUUUGAGCACAGUCGUGCUAUGUUUGUGACCAACAACAUGCCUACAGCAUCUGACAAGCACUGGCAACUCGCCUUAUAGAGAAUGACAGACGGCACAAAAAAACUCCGACUCUUCACUACGUCAGUCUGCGUGUCACCACCACCUCCUUAAUGAAGGGUACGUAGCAAUUCUGACAGCCUGCUGGGUGAUGUUUACAACCUUUAAAAUGGUAAUUUCUUCCAUCGUUUUGUUAACCCUAGUAAUUACUUCUAACCAGUUGGAUACUAUUGUCUUGUCGGGGCUUGCAAUUUUAGUCUCUGAGAAGCCUGUGGUGGAAAAUUGUAGUAGAUUUUAUUUUCCCCAAACUGAGGAUGCAGUCUAAAACAAUAUUUCCACCAUUUUCUGUUUACUUUAAAUUUAGCUGUCACCUCUCUCAGCCUGAAGUAUAUGAAACAGGAUGUUUAUUUCAUUCAGGGAACGUUCAGAUAUGACUAGAUGUAGCGCAGCAGAAUGAAAACAGAGCGCAGGGGUCUCGAGACACGUUCUUCAAAAUUGAACUACUUUUAGCUUGAUGCUGUGUUAUAGAAAAAUGAAGGGAGGUUGGUAUGGGAAAACCGCAUUUACACCACCUUUUUUGUUGAAAGAAACACUUUUAAUAAUACUUUUAUUCAGUAAGGACACAUUAAAUUGAUGAAAAGUGACAUUUAUAAUGUUACCAAAAGAUUUGCCUCUCAAAUAAAUGCUGUUUUUUUUAA